GAUCAUUAUUGAAAUAAACCUGAUGAGUUUGCUGCUGGCUCUCUAGAGAGCAUGUGCACACUUGUCGUCUUUAUAUCUCCACCUGUGCACCUAUUGUAGACCUGGAUAACUCUCUGAAUGCUAGCAUUUCAGAUAUGAGGAUUGACUUUCUGCCUCUCCUUACAUUUCCAGGCCUAUGUUCUUUCAUGUAACCUCAAUGUAUGUUAUGGAAUGUAAUACUAUGGGCUUAUGUGCCUUAUAAACAUAUACAACUUUCAGCAACGGAUCUCUUGGCUCUCGCAUCGAUGAAGAACGCAGCGAAAUGCGAUAAGUAAUGUGAAUUGCAGAAUUCAGUGAAUCAUCGAAUCUUUGAACGCACCUUGCACUCCUUGGUAUUCCGAGGAGUAUGCCUGUUUGAGUGUCAUUAAUAUAUCAACCUCUCAAGCUUUUUGCUUGCUGAGUGUAUGGAUGUGGGGGGGUUAUUUUGCUGGCCUUUUUAUGAGGUCAGCUCCCCUGAAAUGCAUUGGCAGAAUGAUUUGCUGACCGUUCAUUGGUGUGAUAACUAUCUACGCUAUUGACGUUGAAGCAGUUCAGCUUAUAACAGUCCAUUGACUUGGACAACAUAUUUAUUAAUGUGACCUCAAAUCAGGUAGGACUACCCGCUGAACUUAAGCAUAUCAAUA
rnacentral:rRNA from 1 species